CACGUAGGGGGCAAGCGUUGUCCGGAUUUAUUGGGCGUAAAGAGCUCGUAGGUGGCUUAGUAAGUCGGGUGUGAAACCUCCAGGCUCAACCUGGAGACGCCACCCGAUACUGCUAUAGCUUGAGUCCGGUAGGGGAGCGUGGAAUUCCUGGUGUAGCGGUGAAAUGCGCAGAUAUCAGGAGGAACACCAGCGGCGAAGGCGGCGCCCUGGCUCGCAACUGACGCUCAGACACGACAGCAUGGGGAGCGAACGGG
rnacentral:rRNA from 1 species